rnacentral:lncRNA from 1 species
AUGAUUUUUAAACCGUGCAUGAAUAGUUUAGACAGAGUGAUCUUGGCAUCCAGCUACAUAGAACUGAGAAGCCCGUGCAGUGGACCACGUCUAUGCUUUGGCUCUUGGGGAAAAGAAAAAAAAGAAAAAAAAAGGAGAUGUCCUAGGACUGUGCAAGAGGGAUCUCUGAGAAAUAACAACAAUCACUUCUGCAUGCUCCUCCUGCAGUGCUCUGAGAGACUAACCAAGGGCUUUCUCCUAAGUUCUACCAGUGCAGAGCUGAGGGGAAGUGUCCUGGUAUCAAAGGCUCACUUAAAGGAUGAAUUAUACCAUUCCUACAAUUACAUUACUUUCCUCUGUUGGCUUUUAUGAUGCAAAGGUGAGGAUAGAGUUGUUUAAACACUGGUAGAAGCAACUUAAGAAACAAUACUCUGUAGAGCCAAAGUGACAUCUUUACACACCUCCCUUGCCCAGAAUAGUUACAUCCACUUUCUGUUCCAGAACAGACAAUGACAGUUUCUACUGCUAGAGAAUUUCAUCUUUGGGAUUAAAACAUAUUUAUUCCUGAAUUUACAUUGUAACAUCACACUUAGGGUUGGGGUUUUUUGCUGAGUCAAUUAAUUUAAAUGAGGGAUCACCCAUUUGCAAGGCAGCAAAUAUACCUAAAGCUCCUUUGCUUAACUGUUGCAUUGGAUACUACAAUAAUUACUGCCUACUUUCUGUUUUCCUCGUGUGUCUCAUUGCGAUGGUAUGCGUGGGAGGGAAGGAGUGGAGAAACAAGAUAUUCUGGGAGCAUAACAACACCUAAGAGAUUGCUCGGCUAGAUAUGUUUCCUUAGCCAGUUUCAUGUGUGAAAAUUCAAAUUUGCAGACAAAAAACAGUCCCAGAAGCAUAAUAAUAAAAUCUGUAGGAUGUCUAUGCUGAGAAUUACUUCGCUGCUGGUUACAACUGAAAGUUUUGACUUGCAGCUGGGGUAAAUACAGCCUUGAAGCAAAACUGAACUGCCUGGGAUCAUGUCAUGAACCAAGCCAU